CGNUACUNGCAGAAUAAGCNNNGCUAANUCUGUGCCAGCAGCCGCGGUAAUACAGAGGGUGCGAGCGUUAAUCGGAUUUACUGGGCGUAAAGCGUGCGUAGGCGGCUUAUUAAGUCGGAUGUGAAAUCCCCGAGCUUAACUUGGGAAUUGCAUUCGAUACUGGUGAGCUAGAGUAUGGGAGAGGAUGGUAGAAUUCCAGGUGUAGCGGUGAAAUGCGUAGAGAUCUGGAGGAAUACCGAUGGCGAAGGCAGCCAUCUGGCCUAAUACUGACGCUGAGGUACGAAAGCAUGGGGAGCAAACAGGAUUAGAUACCCUGGUAGUCCAUGCCGUAAACGAUGUCUACUAGCCGUUGGGGCCUUUGAGGCUUUAGUGGCGCAGCUAACGCGAUAAGUAGACCGCCUGGGGAGUACGGUCGCAAGACUAAAACUCAAAUGAAUUGACGGGGGCCCGCACAAGCGGUGGAGCAUGUGGUUUAAUUCGAUGCAACGCGAAGAACCUUACCUGGCCUUGACAUACUAGAAACUUUCCAGAGAUGGAUUGGUGCCUUCGGGAAUCUAGAUACAGGUGCUGCAUGGCUGUCGUCAGCUCGUGUCGUGAGAUGUUGGGUUAAGUCCCGCAACGAGCGCAACCCUUUUCCUUACUUGCCAGCAUUUCGGAUGGGAACUUUAAGGAUACUGCCAGUGACAAACUGGAGGAAGGCGGGGACGACGUCAAGUCAUCAUGGCCCUUACGGCCAGGGCUACACACG
rnacentral:rRNA from 1 species